UGCUCUGGAUUAGGCUUUGGCUUAAGGGGAUAUUGUGGCUGGUUUGAUCUUCUAUCCAGACCACUCAGACUUCCUCCGUGUCAGC
rnacentral:pre_miRNA from 1 species